GACGAACGCUGGCGGCGUGCUUAACACAUGCAAGUCGAACGGAAAGGCCCUGCUUUUGUGGGGUGCUCGAGUGGCGAACGGGUGAGUAACACGUGAGUAACCUGCCCUUGACUUUGGGAUAACUUCAGGAAACUGGGGCUAAUACCGGAUAGGAGCUCCUGCUGCAUGGUGGGGGUUGGAAAGUUUCGGCGGUUGGGGAUGGACUCGCGGCUUAUCAGCUUGUUUGUGGGGUAGUGGCUUACCAAGGCUUUGACGGGUAGCCGGCCUGGGAGGGUGACCGGCCACAUUGGGACUGAGAUACGGCCCAGAAUCCUACGGGAGGCAGCAGUGGGGAAUAUUGCACAAUGGGCGGAAGCCUGAUGCAGCAACGCCGCGUGCGGGAUGACGGCCUUCGGGUUGUAAACCGCUUUCGCCUGUGACGAAGCGUGAGUGACGGUAAUGGGUAAAGAAGCACCGGCUAACUACGUG
rnacentral:rRNA from 1 species